CCUACGGGCGGCAGCAGUGAGGAAUAUUGGUCAAUGGACGAGAGUCUGAACCAGCCAAGUAGCGUGAAGGAUGACUGCCCUAUGGGUUGUAAACUGCUUUUAUAUGGGAAUAAAAUGUUCCACGUGUGGGAUUUUGUAUGUACCAUAUGAAUAAGGAUCGGCUAACUCCGUGCCAGCAGCCGCGGUAAUACGGAGGAUCCGAGCGUUAUCCGGAUUUAUUGGGUUUAAAGGGAGCGUAGGUGGACUGUUAAGUCAGUUGUGAAAGUUUGCGGCUCAACCGUAGAAUUGCAGUUGAAACUGGAAGUCUUGAGUACAGUCAGGGUGGGCGGAAUUCGUGGUGUAGCGGUGAAAUGCUUAGAUAUCACGAAGAACUCCGAUUGCGAAGGCAGGUCACUGGACUGCAACUGACACUGAGGCUCGAAAGUGUGGGUAUCAAACAGGAUUAGAUACCCCUGUAGUC
rnacentral:rRNA from 1 species